rnacentral:tRNA from 2 species
GCCGAGUUAGCUCAGUUGGUAGAGCAUACCCAUGGUAAGGGUAAGGUCUCGGGUUCAAUUCCCGAACUCGGCU